UAUAUUAAUUCACAACAUAACCGAACAACAGUGAAUUAACGGUAACGGCGUCACCCUAAAUCACAUUCUUCACUUCUUCUUCACCAGAUCGACACCUUCCCACCACCGCCCUCCAUCAUCGUCUUCAACGCCAACGCCACUCACUGCGUCGCCCACAUCCGCCUCCAUCUCCACCACCACUUCCCUCUCGCUGCUUCCGACCACCACGGCCUCACCCGUCUUCUCCAGCCAUACCGGAACCACUACGCACCACCGUAGAUCUGUGGUUAUCUAUGAUACAAAUGAGAUUGUGAGGUGUUAGAGAAAGAAAUGGAGCGAUGAGUAUUGCACCACCGUUGCCGGAGGCACCGGCUUCAGGUCAGCGUUUUGCUUUUUAUUUUUCUUUGCAUUUUGUGGUUUAAUGUUGGGUUACUUUGUGGUGUGGUUGUUACAACCGCUGGUAUUGUUGUUUCACCACCGCCGAUGAUUGGAACCUGCCUAUUGGCGUGGCAACUCCGGUUGCAGCCUGGGCGACACUGAGCCGUCAAGACGAUGACGAUCUAUCAGAUCCGAGUCUGUUGGUUUAGUUAAAUCUGUUUUUUGUAAGGGUGAGAUUUGGGAUUUUGAUUUUGUCGGCGGUUUACGAGGCGUCUAUGACGGCGAUGAACGGUGGUUGUGGAUGUAUAGUGUUUCCUUAAUUUUGGGGGUUUCGUGGUUAGCUUUUGUGUCAUUGUUGCACGUGAGUUUGAAACCAGCUAUGGUUGUUGCUUUUUUUUCCAUGGAUAUCGAUGUGUUGAGCUAUGAUGAUGUUGUAUGAAGUUUUUGGUGGUCUGAUAUACGAUGCUUACCUGGCCGUGAUGGUUUCCUGAGCCUUGGAUGUGUGUUUCCGUUAACCUUUGUGUGCAUUAUCUUGUAUGUAUUAAAACAUAACAUAACUGAGAAACAGUCAUUUAACGGUGACGGCGUCAACUUGCCAUCUUCUAAACCCUAAUACCUAAAUCAGAGUUUCUUCUUCACCACAUCGACACCUUCCCACCACCGCCCUCCAUCAUCGUCCUGAACCCCAACGCCACCCACUCCGUCGCACGCAUCCGCCUCCAUCUCCAUCACCACUUCCGCGUCGCCGGUCUCCGACAUCAGAUGGAAAUGAAACACCCAGUGUAGUCAGGAGACUCAACAUAAGGUUUCUUCCAAAGGCGAGGAGCCUUCGAUGAAGGCGCAACAGAGUAUGACGAAGUCGAUAGGCCAGUAGCGUAUGGAAGAGUACUCAAAAUAUGGUCCGAGUGGGUCGAUUUAAAUGUAAACCCUAAUCGCAUCAUGGUCUUUUUUAAUAGCAUGUCUCCUCUUCAUAUCAAGUAAGUUCUCAACAAUCUCUUGCAUAAUCGGACCAGUCAUUGACCCGUCCAACGUACCAUUCCACGCGGUUUAAAACUGGAUGACGUCAUAAAUAUAUAUGUAUGGUCACCUGGGUUAUUAAUACAUGUGGCAAAAUCAAUAAAUAUACGCAUAUGUAAUGACACUAGCUAUUAUAUUACAAAUGAGUUCUGGUUAAAAUGAGACAUUACUACAUUAGAUAAUUGAUUACUAUUAUAAUUACAAAACUAGAUAUUUGUAUUAAUCAAAAUAAGAACAAGUGAGUUUCGGUCACGAUGAGUUGAGUGGGAAUAUAGAUAUAGAUAGUUAAAACGAGUUAGAAGGUUGUAAUCAUUUGGAAAACUUUCAGUAUGAUGGUUAUUAAUAAAUAUAUGGUCCGAUUUAAUUAAUAAUGGUUAAAUUGAUCAAUUGUAGUCGAUUACCAAGUCUACAUCUUAGAGUUAGAAUAUAUAUUAGCUUUAGUUAGUUAGUUUCAAAACGUGUGGACUGUGAUUUGAUUGCCAUAAAAUGAAUUAGUAGGGUAUUAGCUGCACCAUUAGUUGUAAAUUGUAAUCUAAGUCUUGGUUGUACCUAAAAUUAUAUGUUGACAUUUCAGCCACAUAAUAAAUAUAUACAUGUACAUGAUGAGGAAGAAAAAGAAAGGAAUUAAUCUGAGCUGUCCAUCUUUUUUUACCAUUCCUUUGCAUUUGAUCCUAAACAGUUCAUGCACAGCGUUCGAAAUAGAACAUGGCUCAGACAAUCAGACCGGAACACUUAUAGCCUGCCUUACAGCACUAUAACCUCAGGAACAUCUAUGCACAUGUUGCAUUAAAAUCAAACAGCAAUUACAAAUGGAGUGGCUGAAGAGCAACUAUUUUGGCAACUUAGGACAUCUUAAUUGCUUUGCAUUUCCUUAAUUUAAGCUGAUAGAAUAGCUAGACUAAUACUGUUUAUGUAAAUAUAAUUGUUUCCGACACUUUCGAACAUCUCUAGACUAGCGGUUAACAAUAAAUAUAACCAUCUUGUUCAAUGUUAUGAAAGUAAUGCUUAAACAUGUCGAUUAAUAAAGGAUUUGCAAUGACUUUGGCAUCCAAC